GCACGUCUCAGUCUUGACCUUCUUAUUUUGCUUUUCUCUCACAUACUGCUUCAUCUCACUUUCUUAACAGACAUGAAUUCAGUCAUUUGGAUGAACGCCUCCAGGACUUGGCAGGGCCGGUGGCUUGUAUAAUCUUAUCUCAAGGGCAAAAACUGGAUGAGUUUCUCUGCCGGUUAGCCACAGGACUCUCAGGUGAGUAAGAACAAACUAUUUGCUUUUCAUGAUCAAAUUGCAAUAAAUUGCUCAGAUGAACACUCGGUGGUGUUGUGUAGUUUAUUGUGUUCACAUACAGUACAGACUCCUCACAUCUUAAACCCAGAACACCAGUGACUCAUACAUGUGUUUAGACAGUGUGGUCCAGUUGUAUAUGUGUUUCUGGAUCUCUGCUGUUUGCUGAGCAGCCCGCACGCGUGCCGUGUCUCCCAGCGUUGACAGGAUCUUGGAGGAUUUGCGGACGGCUUGCCGAAACCUGGCCACGGCUCAGUCCGGGCGCCUGCAAUCUGGGUUAAGAGAAAGUAAGACAGGUAGAGAGAGAGAGAGAGAGAGAGAGAGAGAGAGAGAGAGAGAUGACGUCAUCAUAGCGGCUUCUUCUCUGGCAUUCUGUGGGUGUCCUGCUUUUUCUCCAAGAUGGAAAAUAAUAAUCACACGAGGGAUUUCUGCAACUUUAAUCAGGCGAUUCGUGACGACUGAACACGCAGUGCAUCUGAUAUCACUUACAGACAGGUGACUUUGAAGAUCUCCGUUGAAGUUUUAAAUGAGAUGCUCAACACAACUUACAAAUGAGGGAGGAUUCAAAAUUUCCCCUUUAGAGCCAACAAUACAGCGUGCAUUUCCAGUGAUGGUGGGCGGCUACCGGCAGCCAAUGGAGUAAAAUCAUCAGGGAUUUGACGUGGACUCUUUUUGGUUGAUUGAAAACCAGAUGUGCUGGAUCAUUUAAAGAGUCUUGGUUGUGCUGACUAGAAUGUCAGCAAAGUUUUAAGGGCCUUUGGCCAGUAGGCAACAACCCAGAAUGCCAUGCAUGACACAUAGAAGCAAGCAUGCUGUUAAAAAACAAAGAAUGAAAAAAAAGACCUUGUAACUAGGAGACAGUUCAUUAUGAUGCGAUACAAUAACGAUUUUCUUCACCAGCUAUGUGAUAUUUGCCGUGCAUGAAACACUUCUUCAAUGCAAUUAUAAUUUUUAUUAAUUUAUCGUUAUUUAAAUAUUAUGAGCCUAGUUAAGCAAUUACAUCUUUAAUAACUUACAAAUGCAACCAAAAUAUAUAACAUGAACUUUUACUUAAACUCUUUGAAAAUGGCACAAUCUCUGUCCUAACUGGAACAUUUACAACGACAAACUACACACUAAUACACUUUUUAAAUAAAGAAAAAUGAAUAACGAAGGGCAAAAUGUCACAUAAAAUCAAGCAUAUGAUAGGAAGACUCAAAGUCUUUUAGUAUUUUGUGCCAAAAUGUGUAAUAGUGACAAUCACUGAUGAGGUAAAAUAAAUUAAUAUAAAAAAAUAAAGCCGUUUUACUUAAACAUUUGAUCUGUCACACAACGUCAGAUCUAACAUUCAAACAAUUUUACUUGACUAAAAAAUACUUUAUUUAUGAAUUAUUUAAUGUCUAUAUGUUUUUUUCUUUAUAUAUUUUUCUUUAUUUUUCUUUUUUAUUUAUUUUUA